GCUUGGCGUGGUGGCGGGCGCCUGUGAUCCCAGCUACUCAGGAGGCUGAGGCAAGAGAAUGGCUUGAACCCAGGAGGCAGAGGUUGCAGUGAGC
rnacentral:miRNA from 1 species